UACGUAGGGUGCAAGCGUUGUCCGGAAUUAUUGGGCGUAAAGAGCUCGUAGGCGGUUUGUCGCGUCUGCUGUGAAAACCCGAGGCUCAACCUCGGGCCUGCAGUGGGUACGGGCAGACGUAGAGUGCGGUAGGGGAGAUUGGAAUUCCUGGUGUAGCGGUGGAAUGCGCAGAUAGUCAGGAGGAACACCAAUGGCGAAGGCAGAUCUCUGGGCCGAU
rnacentral:rRNA from 1 species